UACGUAGGGUGCAAGCGUUAAUCGGAAUUACUGGGCGUAAAGCGUGCGCAGGCGGUUUUGUAAGCCAGAUGUGAAAAGCCCCGGGCGUCAACCUGGGAACGUGCGUUUGGUAACUACAAGACUAGAGUGUGUCAGAGGGGGGUAGGAAUUCCACGUGUAGCAGUGAAAUGCGUAGAUAUGUGGAGGAAUACCAAUGGCGAAGGCAGCCCCUCGGGUUAAGACUGACGCUCAUGCACGAAAGCGUGGGGAGGCAAACAGGAUUAGAAACCCCA
rnacentral:rRNA from 1 species